rnacentral:misc_RNA from 1 species
CACGUGCACCCCCCCUCCCCCAUGCCCCGCUAUAUAUAUAUAUAUACAGAGUGAGACAGAGCGUGCACGUGUAGCGUAAAGCGCCUGCGUGGAUGCGGAGGGGAAAGGGCGGACGUCACUGACGCGUAUGGAUGUGCGCCCACGCGUCUCUCCUGCGUUUCCCCUCUUCUAUCCACCUCCGACCUUUAUUGGACGGCUUCUCGCGUUUUGGCUUCGGUCUCAGCCUGUUUUCUUUUUGUGGCUUCAUUUCUCGGUUCAUUCCACUAUUUCAUGGCUAGUGCGCCCGUGACACGCGACACACGCACGAAACGCAAAAAAGGAAAAGACAGGGAAGAGGUGGCAGGAUGCACGCCGGCUAGAGAGACGGAUCAAUGAAGGGGCUGUCUGUACGUGACGGGCGGAGCAUGUGUUACGUAGUGUGGCGACACGAGCAUGAGCAUCCCAACGAACAGAGUCCGGAAGGAUGCACACACAUACACACACACACACAGGCCGGCAGGCAAGAAGACAUACAUGCGCGCCCAUGUACGUGCUCCGUCUUUUUCUCUUCCCCUUUCGCCUCUUCCGUCAG